CAUUUUCUUUUAGUUGUAAAGAGUAGAAGGAAUUGAGUGAAUUUGUAAGAGUGCAUCACACAAAUUUAUAGGCAGAGGUUGCCUUCAUUGUAGUGAGGUACUACGUACUAGUGGUGUCUAACAACCACAUGUUGAACAAUUUGAAGAUAA